GACGAACGCUGGCGGCGUGCUUAACACAUGCAAGUCGAACGGUGAAGCCCCAGCUUGCUGGGGUGGAUCAGUGGCGAACGGGUGAGUAACACGUGAGCAACCUGCCCCUGACUCUGGAAUAAGCGCUGGAAACGGCGUCUAAUACUGGAUACGAGAAGGGUCCGCAUGGGCACUUUCUGGAAAGUUUGUCGGUUGGGGAUGGGCUCGCGGCCUAUCAGCUUGUUGGUGAGGUAAUGGCUCACCAAGGCGACGACGGGUAGCCGGCCUGAGAGGGCGACCGGCCACACUGGGACUGAGACACGGCCCAGACUCCUACGGGAGGCAGCAGUGGGGAAUAUUGCACAAUGGGCGAAAGCCUGAUGCAGCGACGCCGCGUGAGGGAUGACGGCCUUCGGGUUGUAAACCUCUUUCAGCAGGGAAGAAGCGAAAGUGACGGUACCUGCAGAAGAAGCACCGGCUAACUACGUG
rnacentral:rRNA from 1 species